AAAUAUUUUUUUUUUUACUUGGUUAGGAUAGGGACAGCUUGAUAGAAAAAUCCAAAAUUCUUCAGAGACUUGUUGUCUUGGGCCAGAAGCAUCAACAUCACUUGGGAGCUUGUUGGAGGUGCAUGUCAGAUCUCGCCUCAGACUCUCCUAAAUCAGUCUGCAUUGUACCAAGAUACCUACAUGAUUUGUAUACACCUGAAUGUCUGAGACUCAACUGCUAUAGGAAGGAAUGUUGUGGAUUAGAUUGUUUGUGACUUACAAUGCAGAACCCAGGAGUAAAAUAGCCAACUCCCUGCCUGCUCUCCAGUAAAAAAUGUAAAUUCUCCCUUGGAAUCCUGGUUUGGGUGGCAUUAUGCCAUCAGCUUACCCCAGUUCAUAGGCAUGAUAUGUGGAUUCUACUUCCGUUGCAGGGAACAAAAUGAGCACCUCUCCUU
rnacentral:lncRNA from 1 species